rnacentral:rRNA from 1 species
ACGCUCGACACCUACGGGAGGCAGCAGUGAGGAAUAUUGGUCAAUGGGCGCUAGCCUGAACCAGCCAAGUAGCGUGAAGGAUGAAGGCUCUAUGGGUCGUAAACUUCUUUUAUAUAAGAAUAAAGUGCAGUAUGUAUACUGUUUUGUAUGUAUUAUAUGAAUAAGGAUCGGCUAACUCCGCGCCAGCAGCCGCGGUAAUCUGAGCGGGCUGCAAGGC